rnacentral:tRNA from 1 species
AGAAAGUAAUGCAAGAACUGCUAAUUCAUGCUACCAUGACUACACCCAUGGCUUUCUU